rnacentral:lncRNA from 1 species
UAGAAUGUAUCAGUUAGUACUGCUAUUGCGUCACAUCUUUCGGCCAAUCAGAAUAUUUUUUUUAGUUCAUUCAUUUUUUUAUAUUAAUUAAAAAAAUAAAAUAUAUUUUUUAAAAAAUAAAAUAUAAUUAAUUUGUUAUUAAUUAUAUGAUAAUGUGAUAUAAAUAUGAUAUAGUAGGCUUCUUCCUAUUAUAAAUAUUUGU